rnacentral:rRNA from 1 species
GCCUCAAGUUAUGUGUGACAACCCC